GCUGAAAUAGCUCAGUUGGGAGAGCGUUAGACUGAAGAUCUAAAGACCCGUGGCUCGAUCCUGGGUUUCGGCA
rnacentral:tRNA from 1 species